rnacentral:rRNA from 1 species
UACGUAGGCAGCAAGCGUUGUUCGGAGUUACUGGGCGUAAAGGGUGUGUAGGCGGUCUCGUAAGUCUGGUGUGAAAUCUCCCGGCUCAACUGGGAGGGUGCGCCGGAAACUGCGAGGCUAGAGUGUGGGAUGGGAGAGUGGAAUUCCUGGUGUAGCGGUGAAAUGCGUAGAUAUCAGGAGGAACACCUGCGGUGUAGACGGCUCUCUGGACCACUACUGACGCUGAAACACGAAAGCGUGGGUAGCAAAACAGG